AUACGGAGGGUACAAGCGUUAAUCGGAAUAACUGGGCGUAAAGCGCACGCAGGCGGUUUGAUAAGCGAGAUGUGAAAGCCCCGGGCUCAACCUGGGAACUGCAUUUCGAACUGUCCGACUAGAGUCUUGUAGAGGGGGGUAGAAUUCCAGGUGUAGCGGUGAAAUGCGUAGAGAUCUGGAGGAAUACCGGUGGCGAAGGCGGCCCCCCUGGACAAAGACUGACGCUCAGGUGCGAAAGCGUGGGGAGC
rnacentral:rRNA from 1 species